rnacentral:lncRNA from 1 species
UGGAGACAGGAAUUAAAGAUUUAUUGGACUAGCUGCAGACUGAACAAUUUAGUUAUCAGUGCCUUCCCCUGAGUGGAAAGUGAGUUAUUUUAGACUGUGCCGCUUAACCAGUCCUUCUCUAGUCAGAACAACAACCACCCAUGUCCUCCUCUUUCUGUGCUUUCCUGUUCAGUGUGGAGUUUGAGCUGUGUGCUGCUGUGGGAGGACACAGGUGGUACUUUGUUACAGAGAAGUAGGAUUGACUCACAGCCUCACUGAUUGACCACCGUCUCCUAUGUUCUAUACUGGUAUUAGCCGAACUGUCUAUUCCAUAUUCUCUGUUCCCUUGGUAAGGGGGUGGUAGAAUACCUGAAAAUAAGAGUUUAAAACAAACAAAUCCCUCAAGGAUUCUAACAGGAUUAAUCUCUGUAGAUGUCUUUGUGAAGAUUUCACAAAGUACGGAAAUACUGCAGUCACAAUGAUGGAAAGCUUUUGAAUUCUGCUAUUUAGAAUAAAACUUUGGAAUACCGCUUUUAUAUAAGAGUC